CUCGUCUUCGGUAGAGCAAUGCAUCCAAUCAUUGUUUUCUCCGUGCCAAUUCGUCUCGACAAGGAUAUUACAUUAAGGAAAAAAUACUGGUAAGCUUCAUUUUGCGGACGCAACAUCCCUACCCAGUCCGGAAAUUUCACCAGACCCGAUGGAAAAAACGUUUCGAGAUCAGUCGUGAUUGACGUCACGAAAGAAUUUAAAACCGAUGGACGUUACGAAGAGAAGAAAAACGAUGAUUUCGAAUCGAAUUUUGGAAAGAGGCAAAGGACGUGGGGCAGUCGACAAUUUUCAAGAGCCUGUCGUUUUUGAAGGAGAUGGAAAGAAACCACGAGAGCUUGCUGUGCUUGGCUAGAUGGAUGAGAGACCCCACAAGACAUCGACCGCUAAGUCAACUGUAAAGGACUGUUACCCGAAGGAUUUCAAGCUUCGCUGAAUUCGUCUACGUACCUUUCUUCAUUUCUUUUUCUCUUACAUCUUUGGAUCUGUGAUUUCACAUAUCCUUGAGAGCCCUCGUAACAUUCUCAAGAGCUUAUUUCCCAGCAGUGCACUGAAAUCUCGACCUCAGCUUGUAAAUUUCCCAGAGACUGCGCUGCCGCCUUUAUUCUUUUUCGUAUGGUAUAAUUUCCGGAAAUUUGGGUUUUCCUUGAAUUAAACAUGAGAUCUUGUACCUUGUUUUCUUAGUGGAACGAAUAUUCGUCAAGAUGUGCAGCACGGAAUCAGGAUCGCACGCGUUGAUCCUGAACCUGGAAUAAAUGAACUUUAAAUUCCUUCACAAUCAUAAUAAAAAAGCCAAAUUUUUUAACAUCAUUAACUUUCUCACAAAGCUAUUAAAUUUACCACAAAAAACGUAGAAUUUAUGAACAUCACUCGAAUCUUUAUUACUGUCAUUCGGUUACAUAAUUUCGAUAUUUCUUCGACUCCAAUUGUGUUGGUACACAUGCACGAGGGGUGAACAAAUGAGAGGAUAGACCGAUGCUCGUUUGAAUCGCACAUAUGUACAGUCGGCUAUAGUCAUUAGAAGCAUAUUACAGGAAUUGCAGCGAAAAUUGCAAUUACGUGGCUCUGGGUUAGCGUUGUGCGAAACCAGAGAUAAAGCCCUCUUUCUACCCCCACCCUCCUGCCCCUUCGCAAAAUCCUCUUUACAACGAGUGCGCAGAGGUACUCGUAACUCGGCUGAUCUCUGAAACGUGAUUAGGAAUUAAUUAACCCUGUGGCACCCCCUUCGGAAGAAAGCCCUUUCCCCUCGUGCCCUUUUCACUCGAUUAAUGAGGAGAUGCGAUCAUUCAACAUAGUUUAAUCUGUGUCCCUACGUUUCGUCCCUCCCCCCUCUCGUUCUGUCUCUCCUAGUCACUCACACUUUCUCUCUCGUCAUUGGUGAAGCCAUGGGACCAAGAAUUUGCUCGGCAAUCCGUUGUAAUUCAUCAUCCCAUAUACACAUGGUUCAUGUCUAUGAGUGUUGUGUGUACGUGAGCAUUACAUAUUUGUCUUCCUAAUACUAUUUGCCUCUGGAAUUAGCCUGUCUAUCAGCCGCUGUUUACAGGGUUGAUUGUACUGAUAAUUCUGUUAAGUACAUGUAGUCUGAAAUCGAGCACGAUUUGUAUUAGAAUCUGAUUUGUAUUUUUGUAGAUUGAAGGUUUUCCAAUAAUUUAUCAAUUAAUUUUGUAGAUUUGUUUAUUCGAAGAAGUGGAGACGGUUGUUCGGAGACUGAUUACGAUUACACACACACUCAAUUUCUUCUCAUUUUCAUCUCGCUGUACGAAGGUCACUUCAGCUAAUGCUGACUUUGACAAGAGCAGAGUGAUUACGACAGUGGUGGCUUUGAUCUUAAGAUUCCAAAGUACAAGAUUCCAAAGCAGAGAUUCACUUUUUUAUUAUGUUUUUGUCUUUAUCUACUUUAAGGACGCGAACCUCGAAUAUGUUUCAUUGAUUUCCCUUGAAAAAAUCUCUUCGUCAUUAUUGUUGCAGCAAUUCUCUCCCGCUUUGAUCCACAUUCCGUGCGAGCCUGAAUCGAAGAGACGCGAGAGCCCUAUUUCUAUGAUGCACAACAUUCAUCCACCCGCGCGAGUACCCAAUUAUCGGUUACGAAAAGUUUCAAGUCAUUUGAGAACGAAACGAUGUCAGGAGGGGAGUGGGAUACUGGAUGAGAUCACGUGCAAUCUAUAAAUCAAUGUAUACCUUCCACUUUAUAAUAUUCCAUACACGAACUUCCAUAAUAUACUCGUUAAACUUUUCGCUCGAGCGGGAAAAACGUCAGGCCAAGUUUAGCCCUGGAAACUUAUGAGCCCUCGUCCAGCCAGGAUCUUCAAUAAGUCUGAAAAAUGUGGCUCAAGCCUCUUAUGGAAAAAUUAAAUUACUGAAGAGUCGAAAAGUACAUUAAAUACAGCUUCAACGACGCUACCAACGUCUCCGUUCUUCACUCUUUCCAAAAUUUCAAUCCACUGGAGUGAAAUAUCUCAAAUUAUUAAGAAAAUAGUAUGCAACGAUUAUGGGAUAGCAAUGAAUUCGAAAAAUUCGUCGUACUCGAUGCAUUGUAUCAGCAGUAUUAUUAUUGAAAUAAAAAAUCGAUUUUUUUUCGUUUUUUUUUCCUUCCAAGGUUAUUUAGAAAUUCAAUUAGUAUUGAUUAUUAUGGCGAGUGUCAUGCGUGCGAAGCCGUUAAAUAUAUCUCUCUGUUAAUGAUACGUUAUCACUCGAACCGCGAUAGUUAUUUACUCAAGGUUGCAGCGUUAUCUUCGAAAUAGCACUCGGUCAUACUUGGUCUGAACGCUGUAUGCACUGCAAGGUAGCGGGGGGAACUCUUAGGGAAAAGUAAUAAUUUGGCAAUAUGUAAGAUAAUAGCCGACACAAAGUAUGAGAUUAAUAAAAAUAUUCACAAUUUGAUCACAA